rnacentral:lncRNA from 1 species
GCGAUGGCUAUCUCCGGAGUGCCGGCUUGUAGGGAGCGACCCUCACAAGCAUGUGCGAAUGAGCACAAUGGCAAGUAGUCAAACGAUCUGUCGCAAGUACCAAGUCCUCAUGUCUAAUAACAUGGAAUGUAUCGAGUGUCCCAAAGGCCUAUCUCUAUGUCAUCAUGUCUCUAACAUGGAAUAUAUAUAGCAGAUGUACAAAGGCCUAUCAAUAUAUCUCUAUGUUGCAGUUCCAUAGUUCACUAGUUUCGAGUGCCCCUUUAUGACACUCUUGUUUUCUAUGUCAAAACAUGGCAACUAUGUUCCAAAGCACAUAUUCCAAGUCAUAAUCCUCAUAAGAGAUGUAUUUUCCACUUGUAAAAUAAACACUUUUCCCAUAUGCAUGCAUUCUACUCAUAUAGCUCUACUAUAUAGUGAAAUUUUCAUAAUACACGAGGCAUGCAUUUUAAGUGCUCUAAAAUUCAUAUAAAUCCCAUUUAGCAUAGAAAUGAACUUAAAAAUAUUUUACAACAAGUAGAAAGAGCAUAGGGGCCAUUUCGCCCCAUUUCCACGAAGCCAAACCCACCGAUGACAACGAAACUCCUCGUUCGCUCCCACGAGGGUGUCCUCUAGUCUCCUAGUACCCUAGAGGUAUAGAAACAUGUGUCAUACGAGAUAAACGAACAAUACCUAGCUCAAUCAUUAAGCUAAUCAAGUAUAGGUGAGAAGAACUCACCUCUAGUGCAAAAAUCUCCUCUAAAGCUCCAAAAGAGAGCUAGAGCCCUUCUAAUCUAACCAAAAGGAAGCCUCUAAUCCACUCAAACUAGGUCCAAGAGCCCUAAAUUCAAAAUGCUCAAUUUAAGCCCUAAAACCUCAUUCUAGGGUUUCAUCUCACAAAAACCUCAAAUCAAGGAUCAAAGGGAGAAAUCAAGUCUCUAACCUCUCAAGAAGCUCCAAACUUAGCUCCAAUCCAAGUGAUGUUGAAGAUCUCCGCAGCCACUAGCUCCUCUCCAAGCUCUAGUCCAUCAACAAUGGUGGAGAAGCCACCAAGAUGCAAAUAGAGGAGAGAAAGCCCAAUAAAAACCAAGCAAAAGGAGUAAAAACACAAGGGAAGGGAGAGAGAGCUCCUUCUACCUCAACUCCUGCUGGUCUCAGCACAAAAGAAGCCCUAAGGGGCGUGGGUGCUGUUAUAAAUAGGCUACAAUCGCGAAAAACCCCCUGUAGUUCAAACUGCACGAAUUCUGCCUCCUUGUACCGGUACACGGGUUCUUGUACCGGUACAAGGCCCACAAAAUGCAAACCCGAGGCUCGGGUC